GUAAGUUGUACGUAACAUAAACCAAAAUGCCUGCCGAUCAGGAUUGUGAGCAAUCAACUUCGAUCACCGCCUUGAAACAACGACUAAAAGACAAACGUGCGCUGGCUCUGGAAAAUUCCACUGCCGCCAUGCAAUUGACGAAGCCACCUCCUGCAAGUUCAGGUUUUAACCACCGCGGACGGGAGAACAAUGCCUCGGCUACUGCCUUGAAGGCGAUUGAAGACCCGGCGCCAGGAGUGAGCUGCUUGUUAUGUGCUGAGCACGCAACAUGAAACAUCAACGCUACAGCCUGCACUGCAUGUACCUACACCAGCCUCUGCAUCUACACCUUCACUUCUAGAAACAAAAUUUGGUUUCAUUGUAGCCGGUAACUUACCAAACAUCCCUGCUGCUUCAAAUCCGGUAACAUUAUUUUGCAAAACAUGUGAUCACAAUAUUCAUGACAGCGUCACCCAACUGUGGAAAACUGAAUCAGUUCCAGAAAUAUAUCCUGAAAAGCUUUCAGAACAUGAAACUUGUGAACAACAAUUUAAGGAAUCUGUAACACUUGAGAACAAUAAAUUCACAGUGGGACUGCCACUAAAGUUGCCACUUGACUCCGUUAACCAAAUGUUGGGUGACACUCUCAAUUUAGCUCUAAAAAGGUUUUAUAACUUAGAAAAAAGAUUGCAAAAAGACCCAGUUCUACUUGAUCUUUAUUCCAACUUUAUUCAUGAAUAUAUUGACCUGGGCCAUGCCACAAAAAUUGAUAUUAAUCAAUACAAUCUUGAUAGGGACCCUGUUUAUUUUCUGCCUCAUCAUCCUGUUGUACGUAUGGACAAAAAAACCACUAAAUGUAGAACAGUGUUUGAUGCUUCAAUGAAAGGUAGUAAAAAGAUAGCUUUAAAUGAUAUAUUAUUGAAUGGACCUGUCGUACAAAACGAACUUUUUGAUGUUUUAAUUUUGUCACGGCUUGAGAAAUACAUAUUCAUUACAGAUGUUAAACAUAUGUUCAGAGCUAUAGAGCUUGAUGAAAAAUACAGAUCUCUACAAAAUAUUCUUUGGAGAGACAUUCCAACAGAUAAUUUGGAUUGUUUACAGUUGAAUACCGUUACUUACGGUAUGAAAAGCUCUUCUUAUUUAGCAACUCGUUGUCUAAUGGAAUUAGCCGAAAAUUAUUACAAAGAUCAUCCACAAGCUGCAUUUAUUUUAAAAAAUCAGACUUAUGUAGACGAUGUAAUAGGAACUGCUUCAUCCAUAGAGUCAUUGAUAGAGUCAAAGGAACAGCUUUGUAGAAUCAUGGAUUUAGGAGGUUUUAAGUUACAUAAAUGGUCAUCUAAUUCUCCCGAAUUGUUACAAAAUAUACCAUUAGAAAAACAAUAUUUUGAUGAUAUUGAAUUGCAAAAAAAUGAUCUUUUAUUGAAAACAUUAGGAAUUAAAUUUAAUGUAAAGUCAGAUAAUCUUAUCCUUGCCUCUCCUGUUUCAGAAGGAAAUGUACCCCAAACAAAACGCGAAAUCCUGAGCUUCAUCAGCAAGUUUUUCGACCCAUUGGGCCUGGCUGGUCCAAUUGUUGUUUCAGCUAAGCUUUUUAUACAAAAUUUAUGGAAGUCGCGUGUUGAUUGGGAUACAAAGGUUGAAGGUGACCUAAAAAAGACUUGGUUUGAUUAUUAUGAUAGCUUAACUAAAAUGAAUCCUAUAAAUAUCAAUAGGUACAUAUGCUUAGACAUGUCAGUUUGCUUUCAAUUAAUUGGGUUUGCUGACGCAUCAAGCACAGUUGCUUAUGGGUGCUGCAUUUAUCUCAGAGUCAUUGAUGCCGCAGGGAAUGUUAAAGUUUCUUUGUUAUGCGCUAAAUCGAGAAUUAAUCCACUCAAUAACAACCUCACAACACCAAGAUUGGAAUUGAAUGCUGCUUUACUACUUUCCAAACUUUGUGCUAAGGUACACAAAACAUUAUCUUUAAAAUUUAAAAUAAAUAACGUAUUUUUAUAUUCUGACUCACAAAUCGUAUUAGCAUGGAUUGCUACUGACAUCAUAAAACUAAACACGUAUGUUGCUAACCGUGUAAAGGAAAUUACACAAAAUACACAAAGGUGCACUUGGUCUUACAUAAACACUACAGAUAACCCUGCAGAUUGCUUAAGUAGAGGUCUCCUCCCGCACGAGUUCGAGUCUCACCCGCUCUGGUGGAAAGGCCCUGGAUUUCUCCACACAAGUGAGUAUGAUUUGCCUUGUAAUGUUCCUGCAGUCAUGGAGGAUCUUCCAGAGUCGAAAAAGGAGCCAGCACAUACCUUGGUAUGUACCACCCAUGUACCUUUGAAUCUAAAUUUUUUAGACAAGUUCUCUAACCUACACAAAAUGCAGCGAGUACUAGCAUAUAUACUCCGAUUCUGUAAAAAUGCACGCACAAACUUGGACAGGGUUCAAUGUAACUAUCUCACUUCUAAGGAGCUAGAAAAGUCAUUAUUGUUAAUAGUAAAGUAUGAACAAGAAAGACAUAUGAAGGACUUAAUUCAUAAUGUUAGUAAUAACAAACCUCUCUCAGAGUGUAACCUACAAUCGUUGCAUCCGUUUGUUGAUGACAAUGGUAUGUUAAGAGUGGGUGGUCGACUUGAAAAAUCAAGCUUGCCAUAUUCGCAAAAGCAUCCACUUAUCCUGCCUAAAGGUUCCCGUCUUAUAGAACUAAUUAUUAGAAGCGAGCAUAUAAAAAAUUUACAUGCAGGACCUAGACUACUGUUGUCAUCAAUAAAUCAAAAGUUUUGGAUCGUAAAUGCACUGCGUGAAAUUAAAAAGGUUACCCAUAAGUGUGUAAUAUGUUGGAAACUUAAGAAAAAGGUUUCUGAGCAGUUAAUGGGCUCGUUGCCACACGACAGAAUAAAUGUAUGUCGUCCUUUUCAAAAAAUUGGAUUAGAUUUUUGUGGUCCCGUGUCAGUCAAACAAUCGACGAUGCGUAGGUCAAUAGUAGGUAGUGGGUACAUUUGCGUGUAUGUAUGCUUCACCACAAAGGCCGUACAUUUAGAGUUGUGUUCUGAUUUAAAAACACAAACAUUUUUAGCUUCAUUUAGGCGCUUUAUCUCACGUAGAGGACUUCCAACGGAUGUCUACUGCGACAAUGCUUCUAAUUUCAAAUGUGCUAACUCAGAGUUACAUAAAUUGUAUAAUUCCAAAGAACACCAAAAUCAGGUACAAGACUUUAGUAGUGAA
rnacentral:lncRNA from 1 species